rnacentral:rRNA from 1 species
CCUACGGGCGGCAGCAGUGGGGAAUAUUGGACAAUGGGGGGAACCCUGAUCCAGCCAUGCCGCGUGUGUGAAGAAGGCCCUCGGGUUGUAAAGCACUUUCAGUGAGGAAGAACGCCUGGUGGUUAAUACCCAUCAGGAAAGACAUCACUCACAGAAGAAGCACCGGCUAACUCCGUGCCAGCAGCCGCGGUAAUACGGAGGGUGCGAGCGUUAAUCGGAAUUACUGGGCGUAAAGCGCGCGUAGGUGACUUGAUAAGCCGGUUGUGAAAGCCCCGGGCUCAACCUGGGAACGGCAUCCGGAACUGUCAAGCUAGAGUGCAGGAGAGGAAGGUAGAAUUCCCGGUGUAGCGGUGAAAUGCGUAGAGAUCGGGAGGAAUACCAGUGGCGAAGGCGGCCUUCUGGACUGACACUGACACUGAGGUGCGAAAGCGUGGGUAGCAAACAGGAUUAGAUACCCCAGUAGUC